CAGUAAUUCAAAGGGCUGGUCGUUUGGAACGCAUGGGUCCGGUCUUGGAACGCAACGUCAGUGGUUGUGACGUGCGUGGUUACUCGCCGCCGGAAAUGCACAUGUGGAACGCAACCAGAAGUUGUGAUUUGGAACGCAUAAUAUUACCGGACGGACUAUCAGCUGUUUUUUAGCCGCGAAUUUGAAGGUGGCGAUCAUCUGGAAAAUAUUUACUCUAUUGAAGAGGGGCCGCCUAUGAAGG